AUGGGCCCCGGGCUCCUCUGCUGGGUGCUGCUUUGUCUCCUGGGAGCAGGCCCAGUGGAGGCUGGCGUCACCCAAAGUCCCACGCACCUGAUCAAAACCAGAGGACAGCAAGUGACUCUGAGAUGCUCUCCUAUCUCUGGGCACACCAGUGUGUCCUGGUACCAACAGGCCCUGGGUCAGGGGCCCCAGUUUAUCUUCGAAUAUGUUAAUGAGUUAAGGAGAUCAGAAGGAAACUUCCCUAAUCGAUUCUCAGGUCGCCAGUUCCGUGACUAUCACUCUGAGAUGAAUGUGAGUGCCUUGGAGCUGGGGGACUCGGCCCUGUAUCUCUGUGCCAGCAGCUUGGCACAGCCCUGCAGAGUCACUGGAACUCUGUGCACUAAUCUCUCUGCUUCCGUGUGUGGCAGUCUCAGACCAGACAGCUGUGAGAACCUGGGGCCUUCAGGGGGAAAGAAAAACAAUUUCAGGACUCUGAACAAGGCUGGCGGAAACAAGGCCAGGAGGAUCUGCUCAGAGGAUGGUGCUGCCUCAGGAGGUUCACGGCAAAAUUACUUUCUUUGUCGGAUGCUGUACACUAUAGUGAUAGAGUAG